UUGAUUUUGGGAGGGAAUCCAUCUCAAUUCUCAAUACACAAACCAAAAUCAACUCUGGACGCGGGAUCCGACUACAUUUGGGUCACCCAUGUUUUCAAAUGGAUCAUAUAUAUUCCUUUUUAACGCUUUCUUCUCUCCCGUAACUUCAUUUUUCAGAAACCCUAAAUACCAAACAUUCUUCUCCUUCACGCUACAGGAUCCCAAUGUUCAUCCUUCUCCUUCUUCAACUUCUUUGAUCCAUCUGGUGGUUGAUUCUAUCAACAAACCCUAAUCGCCAAAUAUUGUCGUAUCAAUUCGGCACUUGGUUCUUUAAGGUGCUCCUUGAUCCAACUUCUUCUCAAGUGCCAGUGCCUCAUAAUGUCGUAUUAAUUAUCAGUUCUUCAAAGGGUAUUUUGAGAUUUAUUUACGUACAUAUAAUGAGGGGCAUCUAUGCAUUCGGAAGGUACUGUCGAGAGUUUUAACUUUCUGUCAAAUUAUCAAAGCUCUUUGAAAAUCACCAAGUUGUAUGUGCACAUGGUAGUUGAAACUGGCCUUUUCAAUUGUCUCUGACUUGUUAAGGUUAAUAGAGUCAUGGCCGUAAUGGAAUGUGCAAGGGUGAAGCUACAUAGGAGCCAGGGG